rnacentral:rRNA from 1 species
GUGCCAGCAGCCGCGGUAAUACGUAGGUUCCGAGCGUUGUCCGGAUUUAUUGGGCGUAAAGCGAGCGCAGGCGGUUAGAUAAGUCUGAAGUUAAAGGCUGUGGCUUAACCAUAGUACGCUUUGGAAACUGUUUAACUUGAGUGCAAGAGGGGAGAGUGGAAUUCCAUGUGUAGCGGUGAAAUGCGUAGAUAUAUGGAGGAACACCGGUGGCGAAAGCGGCUCUCUGGCUUGUAACUGACGCUGAGGCUCGAAAGCGUGGGGAGCAAACAGGAUUAGA